CAAUAGCGUAUAUUAAAGUUGUUGUGGUUAAAAAGCUCGUAGUUGGAUCUCGGCGGUCUGAGGGCGGUUCGCUUGCUUAAGCGCUACUGCCCUAUAGGCCGUAGUUUUGCCAGAGGCCUCGGGGUGCUCUUAACCGAGUGUCCUGCGGCGCUGGCGGGUUUACUUUGAAAAAUUAGAGUGCUCAAAGCAGGCUUUUACGCCUGAAUAUUCGUGCAUGGAAUAAUAGAAUAGGAAGUCGUUUCUAUUUUGUUGGUUUUCGGAAAUCGAGUUAAUGAUUAACAGGGACAAUUGGGGGCAUUAGUAUUCAGACGACAGAGGUGAAAUUCUUGGACCGUCUGAAGACUGACUACUGCGAAAGCAUUUGCCAAGAGUGUUUUCAUUAAUCAAGAACGAAAGUUAGAGGUUCGAAGAUGAUUAGAUACCAU
rnacentral:rRNA from 1 species